GUGUGCAUCCACACCGGUGUGUGAUACUCACCUGAGUACAUAACACCAACACACACAAAAAAAUGUAAUUCAAACAUGUUGCGAUCCGAUUUCCAGAGAUUUUGACAGAUUUUAAAAUCUCAUCUCAUAAAUAUCCUGGCUUCAAAAUUGGCCGAUCGAAUUCAAAAUGAUACUCUAUCCAGGCAGUUUUCAGAUCAGUGGUGUACACUUUGAAAAACACUUAUUGUAGGUGAUAGUCAUUGACAUUGUAAAGGGGUGACCGUGGCGGGAAUAAAAACACUGCGAA
rnacentral:lncRNA from 1 species